GACGAACGCUGGCGGCGGGCUUAACACAUGCAAGUCGAACGGAAAGGCCCUGCGUUUGUGGGGUUCUCGGGUGGCGAACGGGGGAGUAACACGUGUGUAACCUGCCCUUGUCUUUGGGGUAACUUCAGGAAACUGGGGCUAAUACCGGAUAGGAGCUCCUGCUCCAUGGUGGGGGUUGGAAAGUUUCGGCUGUUGGGGAUGGACUCGCGGCUUACGAGCUUGUUGGUUGGGGGGUGGCUGACCAAGGCUUUGACGGGUCGCCCGCCUGGGAGGGUGGACGGCGACAAUGGGACUGAGGUACGGCCCAGUCUGAUACGGUAGGCAGCAGUGGGGAAUAUUGCACAAUGGGCGGACGCCUGAUGCAGAAACGCUGCGGUCGUGAUGACGGCUUUCGGGUUGUAAACAGCUGUCGCCUGAGACGAAGCGGGAGUGACGGUAAUGAGUAAAGAAGCACCGGCUUACUACGUG
rnacentral:rRNA from 1 species